AAGUCGUAACAAGGUUUCCGUAGGUGAACCUGCGGAAGGAUCAUUAAUGAUUGACCUUUAACGGUCUUGUCAACAAUCCUAACACCUGUGAACCGUUUUUGGCCUCCGGGCCCGCUUACAUUACAAACAUUGUGUAAAGAACGUCUUGUUAUCUUAACAAAACAAAACUUUCAACAACGGAUCUCUUGGCUCUC
rnacentral:misc_RNA from 1 species